rnacentral:rRNA from 1 species
CAGCAUUUAGUUGGGCACUCUAAAGUGACUGCCGGUGCAAGCCGGAGGAAGGUGGGGAUGACGUCAAAUCAUCAUGCCCCUUAUGACCUGGGCUACACACGUGCUACAAUGGAUAGUACAAAGGGUCGCGAAGCCGCGAGGUGGAGCUAAUCCCAUAAAACUAUUCUCAGUUCGGAUUGUAGGCUGCAACUCGCCUACAUGAAGCCGGAAUCGCUAGUAAUCGUGGAUCAGCAUGCCACGGUGAAUACGUUCCCGGGCCUUGUACACACCGCCCGUCACACCACGAGAGUUUGUAACACCCGAAGUCGGUAGGGUAACCUUUAUGGAGCCAGCCGCCGAAGGUGGGACAGAUAAUUGGGGUGAAGUCGUAACAAGGUAGCCGUAUCGGAAGGUGCGGCUGGAUCACCUCCUUUCUAAGGAA